rnacentral:lncRNA from 1 species
AGCAAAUGAAAUAGUUGGAGGGGCAAUAGAGCAGCGAGCAGGACCCCUGCCACCCCUGUCUGCUUCCAAGUGCCCAUCAAAAGGCACCUGGAACUUGGCCUGCCUGUCGCUCACCCCCGCAGAUGGGGAACAAUGCCCUUACCGUGGGUAGGUGAACAUUCACUGGGGUUGCACUGCAGACCUCCACAGGGAAGUAAAUCCACACACCCACACUGAACCCCUUGCUUCUCUACUACAGCUCCCAGGCUGCUCCCACGUUGGGGGAACCUUUGAGCAAGCUGUCAGGAGGCAACAGCAAAGACCGCAUGCGUUGCCUUCAGGCUGUGCCACACCACCCGUGCUAGGCAAGAGAAGGCCAUCUGCCCCUUUCUGCACCAACCUGGGAGAAACAUCCACAGGCAGGUUGGGGUUCUCCAAGAGGCCCCCUACUGGAGCUGGGAGCAGGACCGGCCAGGCUCUGCCUUCCACCUGGUGAACAUCCCCACUGGAAGGUGUCCAAACUGCAGAAGAACCACUUAGCACGUGUCUUCAAAAUAGCAGAUAAAUGGAUUAAUGGCCUGCCCCCUCCCCUGCCACUGCCUCAUUGCUUUAAUAUCCUGUCCUUUAUGAGUGACUGGCAGAGUCACUUUGUGUUAUGUUAUCUUCCCAGGAAAGCAUUUCUUGUUUUUGUUUGUUUUAUUUUUUUGUUUGUUUUUUAAUCCCCUUGCAUUGGCCUCCAGAGCCUGUUUGGAGCAAUACUGUGAAGCAAAUGACCAGACAUAAUGACUUUCCAAGGUCCUUGUGAUUCCUUAUUAACAUUCGGUUAGCAUAAGUCCUGACUUUAUUAUUGACUACAUUGAAUACACAAUACACUGACCUCUGCCAUCUGCAACUAAAUCUCUUCCUGCAGAUCUAUCACAGUGAUUUCAUACACAGAGGAAGUGGAAGACAACAAAGCAGUAACUGCUUUGUUUGUUUUUUUGUUUUGUUUUGUUUUGUUUUAUUUUGUUUGUUGUUGGUUUUUGACCUCAGCCCAUCGGUGCAGCCUAUCCAGAUCCUCCUGCAGAGCCUUCCUA